ensembl:lncRNA
CAGGCAGAAGACGGUCAUCAGCCAUAGGCUACUGGUCAGCUUCUCCACAAAGUUUGUUCAUUUUACCAGAAUACAACUUUGGGAAACGAAGGAGCACCAUAGAUGAGAACCUUGUUUUCAGAUGAAGAAAAAAAGAGAAGCUUGGUUCAGAUGAAGUUCUGAAGGUAAAACGUUAUAAACUCUUCUUUCAGUUUUCUGAAGUAACGUUAGUCAUUCAAGUACCUCACCAGAACCCAGUGUAAUGCCGCGUGAAUAUCUGCUUUUAUACAGUCUAUGGUGAAUAUACAGUCAUAAGUAAAUUGCAUACGUUCAAAACUAUAUAUUUUAGAAUAACAGUAAUAAUAGCAUAGCUAUAUCUUGUAUAAAUAGCCAUACAAUUAGGAUAGACACAAAUGUGUGAAAUUUCCUUUUAUUUUGUUAUAAUUCUGUGUUGUGUCAUUUAAAAGCAUGGUCUGGAUGGUAAAGUUUGUCUUUGGUAAUUAAAACAAACUUGUCAAUACUUUUUACUUUCUCUGUAAAGAUUUAUUUAUAUAUUUAUGUUUAUUAUUUUACAGUGUUUUAACAUGUUUCUGUAUUUUUCAUGUUUAUGAUAUUUUGGAAUGACUGGAGAUAAGGCCAGAAUUCAAUAAUCUUGUGGAUGGACCGCAGCAAGUCCUUUUGAGUUGUAUCCAUCAUAAUGCUAUCCAGACAUAAUGGAAAUGACAUUCACAUUGUAGAGCUUGGACAAAGUUCACACAGGCUCGGAGCAGGAAUUCAUCAAGGACAUGACUGUUGGGAUUAUGGUUGUAGAUGACAACUGAGCAACAUCAGUCUGCAGUGAUGUGGUCCAGGUAAUAGAAGAAAAAAUCUGGGUGAUCUGGGGUUGUAACACGUUGUGGGGUUGUGUACUGUGUUAGAUGAUCUGGGACUUGUCACAGAAAUAAACACAUUCAGGUUUAGAACAACUUGAGGUUUAGUAAAUGACAAUUUUCUUUCUUUUUUCUUUUUUGGGUGAACCCUUUUAGAAAAUUUAGAUAUUUGCACUGGAAAACAGCUUAAAAAUUUAGAGAACAUAAUUUGACAUUAUUUUCCCUUGAGUUUUAUUCCUUGAUUUUUCUAUAAUUGGUAUUUAAAAUGUCUUUAUAAAGUCUUGAAUUUAUCUUCAUAAAACCAGCAGAAACCCUGUUUAAGGACAUCGCCAAUCUUUAUUUUUUAUUUUUUUUAUUAUACCUGAAAAAUGUUCUGGCUCACAUCAGUGCUGGCAUUUUGGCCAUUAGCAACUUUGCUUAAAGGGUUAGUUCACCCAAAAAUGAAAAUUAGGCCAUGUUUUACUCAUCCUCAAGGCAUCCUAGGUGUAUAUGACUUUCUUCUUUCAGACGAAUCCAAUCUGAUUUAAAUAAAAAAUUGUCCUGGCUCUUCCAAGUCAUUUAAUGGCAGUAGGCAGGUGUGUGUUUUUUUCCUCAGCAGUCCAAAAAUAGUCAAAUAAAAUGCACCCAUCCAUCCAUAAAACGUGCCUCACAAGACUCUGGGUGGGGGGGGGGGGGGUGAAUAAAGGCUUCUUGUAGCAAAUUGAUGCAUUUUUUUGCAAAAAAAAAAUAUCCAUAUUUAAAACGUUAUAAACAGUUUUUUCUCACUUCCACUGACUAUCAUGCGUGCAAGCCUAAUUUUGUGCUCCUAGAGCCUUUUUGAGCCUUUCACUACUUUUUAGAAUGCA